UACGUAGGGGGCAAGCGUUGUCCGGAAUCAUUGGGCGUAAAGAGCGUGUAGGCGGCCAGAUAAGUCCGCUGUGAAAUCUCGAGGCUCAACUUCGAGCUGUCGGUGGAAACUGUCUGGCUAGAGUCCGGAAGAGGAGAAUGGAAUUCCUGGUGUAGCGGUGAAAUGCGCGAUAUCAGGAAGAACACCCGUGGCGAAGGCGGUUCUCUGGGGACGGUACUGACGCUGAGACGCGAAAGCGUGGGGAGCGAACAGG
rnacentral:rRNA from 1 species